rnacentral:rRNA from 1 species
AUUGAACGCUGGCGGCAGGCCUAACACAUGCAAGUCGAACGAGUGGCGGACGGGUGAGUAAUGUCUGGGAAACUGCCUGAUGGUGGGCGAUAACUACUGGAAACGGUAGCUAAUACCGCAUACCAUCAGAUGUUCCCAGAUGGGAUUUGCUUGUUGGUGGGGUAACGGCUCACCAAGGCGACGAUCCCUAGCUGGUCUGAGAGGAUUAACAGCCACACUGGAACGAAGACAAGGGCCAGACUCCAACGGGAUGCAGCAGUGGGGAUUAGUGCACAAUGGGGGCAAGCCUGAUGCAGCCAUGCAGCGUGUAUGAAGAAGGCCUUCGGGAUGUAAAGUACUUUCAGCGGGGAGGCGUUACCAGCAGAAGAAGCACCGGCUAACUCCGUGCCAGCCGCCGCGGUAAUAC